rnacentral:rRNA from 1 species
CCUACGGGAGGCAGCAGUCGAGAAUCAUUCACAAUGGGGGAAACCCUGAUGGUGCGACGCCGCGUGGGGGAAUGAAGGUCUUCGGAUUGUAAACCCCUGUCAUGUGGGAGCAAAUUAACAAGAUAGUACCACAAGAGGAAGAGACGGCUAACUCUGUGCCAGCAGCCGCGGUAAUACAGAGGUCUCAAGCGUUGUUCGGAAUCACUGGGCGUAAAGCGUGCGUAGGCUGUUUCGUAAGUCGUGUGUGAAAGGCGCGGGCUCAACCCGCGGACGGCACAUGAUACUGGGAGACUAGAGUAAGGGAGAGGGAAGCGGAAUUCUCGGUGUAGCAGUGAAAUGCGUAGAUAUCGAGAGGAACACUCGUGGCGAAGGCGGGUUCCUGGACAUUAACUGACGCUGAGGCACGAAGGCCAGGGGAGCGAAAGGGAUUAGAUACCCUUGUAGUC